rnacentral:misc_RNA from 1 species
GAAACACAGCAGUGGAGAGCAAGACACCAGCACGCUGCCCUCACCACCUCUCCUCACCACGGUGGAGGAUGUGAACCAGGAUAACAAAACCAAAACGUGGCCACCCAAAGCACCCUGGCAGCACCCUUCCCCGCUUCCCAGCACGCUGCCCAGCCCCAGCGCACCACUCUAUGCAGUCACCAGCCCUGGCAGCCAGUGGAACGACACCAUGCAGAUGCUGCAGUCCCCAGUGUGGGCCGCAACCAACGACUGCAGUGCCGCUGC